rnacentral:rRNA from 1 species
CCUACGGGAGGCAGCAGUGAGGAAUAUUGGUCAAUGGGCGCGAGCCUGAACCAGCCAAGUAGCGUGAAGGAUGACUGCCCUACGGGUUGUAAACUUCUUUUAUACAGGAAUAAAGUGAGGCACGUGUGCCUUUUUGUAUGUACUUUAUGAAUAAGCAUCGGCUAACUCCGUGCCAGCAGCCGCGGUAAUACGGAGGGUGCGAGCGUUAUCCGGAUUUAUUGGGUUUAAAGGGUGCGUAGGUUGUUUUUUAAGUUAGCGGUGAAAGUUUGUGGCUCAACCAUAAAAUUGCGGUGGAAACUGGAAUACUUGAGUGUGUUUGAGGUAGGCGGAAUGCGUGGUGUAGCGGUGAAAUGCAUAGAUAUCACGCAGAACUCCGAUUGCGAAGGCAGCUUACUAAGCCAUAACUGACACUGAAGCACGAAAGCGUGGGUAUCAAACAGGAUUAGAUACCCGAGUAGUC